GACGAACGCUGGCGGCGUGCUUAACACAUGCAAGUGGAGCGACGAACCAGGGCUUGCCCUGGGGCAAAGCCGCGAACGGGUGAGUAACACGUGGGUAACCUGCCCCGACGACUGGGACAACCCGGAGAAAUCCGGGCUAAUACCGGAUGUGCUCGCCACCCGCGAGGGUGGUCAGUAAAGGAAGCUUCGGCCUCCGCAUCGGGAUGGGCCCGCGGCCCAUUAGCUUGUUGGUGAGGUAAAGGCUCACCAAGGCCGCGAUGGGUAGCUGGUCUGAGAGGACGAUCAGCCACACUGGGACUGAGACACGGCCCAGACUCCUACGGGAGGCAGCAGUGGGGAAUCUUGCGCAAUGCGCGACAGCGUGACGCAGCAACGCCGCGUGGGGGAAGAAGGCUUUCGGGUUGUAAACCCCUUUCAGCAGGGACGAAGGUGUGGCGGUGAAUAGCCGUCCGCACUGACGGUACCUGCAUAAGAAGCCCCGGCUAACUACGUG
rnacentral:rRNA from 1 species